UCCAAAUGGGGCCUAAAAUUGUACUCCAAGCAAAUGGAGGGUUGAGGGAUGAUGGAUGGCCUCGAUGAUCAGACAAAUAAAAAUUGAGGAGCAAAUCCAUUUGUAUCGAACGGCUUAGAGGCCUAGACAUCACAUGAUGAUCAUGGAGGCGCGACUACAGUAAUAGAAAAAUUGCUUGCAAUCCCCAACUAAAACACUUAGCUGUCAUUCUUUACAAUCUCAUCAUUACAUUUACACCAUACACCCCGAACCUAACCAAGCAAGAGAUCGCACCUGAAUCCCGAUCAUAUAAAACCCUAGACAUCAAUGCUGCUCACUAACCAAACCAAGCUUCAAUUUUUACUGCAUUUCGAGGCUUUGUCAAGCUCAAAUCGAAACUACUCGUCUUCGAAAGUUCGAUCAAUCGAUGUCGAGUAUCGAAUGGUCACGAUCACGUAAAACGUUGAGCACUGGCGGCUGAUCCAACAAUCCUGGUCAUUGGCAAGCAGGGAAACCUGAAUGGAGAUUAUGAUGAUUCAAACAAGAAGACGGGAAAAAUUGUAAUGAAUGAUUCUUGAAAGAGAAUAACUGCAAAAACUGUUAAAACAUUCAUGGACUUGCCUCAUCUGCUGAAGCAGCUGGACCACUGGGUAGUGGUUUGUAUUCCUCUCCAGAGUCAUCUGCAAUUCAAGAGGAGGGGACCAUCAAAUACUCACCAACUUGUUUGGAUUCCGAUUCCAACUGCUUGGCUGCUUCCUGAAAGUGAAGUUCAAUCUCAAACUCCCUAUUCAUGAAAAUGCGAUGAAGGAAAUAAAACUGUUGAGGGUGCGCAAACAAAGAAAUGCUGAGGCCGAUGAUCCGUUGAUGAUUUGAGGAGUCUCUCUGCAUUACCUACGUCACUCACUGUGAAGAGGCACCAACAAACCACCCAUGCUGCCACUGUUGCUGCCACAGCCUUGGCUCUCUGGUUCAUCUUUGUUGAAGCCAUAUACAUGUAUGUAUUUCUUGAUGACUUUUAGAUAGUGAGAGCUCUACUUUUAUGUGUAUGUAUGUUUUCUCUUUCAGUAUAUGUCGGUUUCGUGUCCUUCCUCUUUUAUAUCCUUCUUUCACUAGCAUGCAAGUGGAGAGAGAGGAUACAAUUUAUUUUUUAUUUGAUUUUUAAUGGAGUAAACUUGGUAAAGAAGCCUCAAGUUUUAUAGUGAA